AUUGAACGCUGGCGGCAGGCCUAACACAUGCAAGUCGAACGAGUGGCGGACGGGUGAGUAAUGUCUGGUAAACUGCCUGAUGGAGGGGGAUAACUACUGGAAACGGUAGCUAAUACCGCAUACCAUCAGCUUUGCCCAGAUUGGAUUAGCUUGUUGGUGGGGUAACGGCUCACCAGGGCGACGAUCAGUAGCGGGUCGGAGAGGAAGGUGCGCCACACGGGGACGGAGAAACGGCCCAGACUCCUACGGGAGGCAGAAGUGGGGAAGUUUGGAAAAGGGGGGCAACCCUGAGCCAGCCAGGCCGCGUGUAUGAAGAAGGCCUUCGGGUUGUAAAGUACUUUAAGCGGGGAGGCGUUACCCGAAGAAGAAGCAACGGCUAACUCCGUGCCAGCAGCCGCGGUAAUUC
rnacentral:rRNA from 1 species